rnacentral:rRNA from 1 species
UACGUAGGGUGCGAGCGUUGUCCGGAAUUAUUGGGCGUAAAGAGCUUGUAGGCGGUUUGUCGCGUCUGCUGUGAAAAUCCGGGACUCAACCCCGGACCUGCAGUGGGUACGGGCAGACUAGAGUGUGGUAGGGGGAGACUGGAAUUCCUGGUGUAGCGGUGAAAUGCGCAGAUAUCAGGAGGAACACCGAUGGCGAAGGCAGGUCUCUGGGCCACUACUGACGCUGAGAAGCGAAAGCAUGGGGAGCGAACAGG